rnacentral:rRNA from 1 species
CCUACGGGUGGCAGCAGUGGGGAAUAUUGGACAAUGGGCGAAAGCCUGAUCCAGCCAUGCCGCGUGUGUGAAGAAGGCCUUCGGGUUGUAAAGCACUUUCAGUGGGGAAGAAAGCCUUGGGGCUAAUACCCUCGAGGAAGGACAUCACCCACAGAAGAAGCACCGGCUAACUCCGUGCCAGCAGCCGCGGUAAAUACGGAGGGUGCGAGCGUUAAUCGGAAUUACUGGGCGUAAAGCGCGCGUAGGCGGUCUGAUAAGCCGGUUGUGAAAGCCCCGGGCUCAACCUGGGAACGGCAUCCGGAACUGUCAGGCUAGAGUGCAGGAGAGGAAGGUAGAAUUCCCGGUGUAGCGGUGAAAUGCGUAGAGAUCGGGAGGAAUACCAGUGGCGAAGGCGGCCUUCUGGACUGACACUGACGCUGAGGUGCGAAAGCGUGGGUAGCAAACAGGAUUAGAUACCCCGGUAGUC